UACGGAGUGUGCAAGCGUUACUCGGAAUCACUGGGCAUAAAGCGCGCGUAGGCGGGCUUUCAAGUCGGUUGUGAAAUCCCUCAGCUCAACUGAGGAACUGCAUCCGAUACUGUCUGUCUUGAGGUCGGGAGGGGAGAGUGGAACUUCUGGUGGAGCGGUGAAAUGCGUAGAUAUCAGAAGGAACGCCGGUGGCGAAAGCGACUCUCUGGCCCGAAUCUGACGCUGAGGCGCGAAAGCUUGGGUAGCAAACGGG
rnacentral:rRNA from 1 species